UAUAGCAUCUUCUCCUGUCCCUCCAGGGUGUCUGCAUGGGCAUGUGCACUGCGCUUGGGCCCCCCUCCAACUGCUUCUGGGUUAUCAGAUAAGGAAGGUGACCUGGGUGCAGCUGGAGAAAACUCUGAACGCUUCCUCCGGGAGAGCGCCACCUUUGUGCAGGGCUCAGCCCUCCCACCCUUGGGCCCGGGCUCAUGACCACACAUCAGAUGUUUGGUGCCACCAGGCAGUGGGCAGAAGCUUCCAGAUAAAGCCAUUCAGGACAAGGCAGCGGCAAAGCAGAAGCGGGAGAGCGGAGUGAGACCGAGAACCAGAGAGCAGCGGAGAGGACCCAAAGGAAGACCAAAGCUAGAGUCUGCUCCAUUCUGGAGAGGGGUCUGUGUGAGCGGAAGGUGGC